CACGUAGGGGCCAAGCGUUGUCCGGAUUUAUUGGGCGUAAAGAGCUCGUAGGCGGUUGGGUAAGUCGGGUGUGAAAACUCUGGGCUCAACUCAGAGACGCCACCCGAUACUGCUCUGACUUGAGUCCGGUAGGGGAGUGGGGAAUUCCUGGUGUAGCGGUGAAAUGCGUAGAUAUCAGGAAGAACACCGGUGGCGAAGGCGGCUCUCUGGGCCUUACCUGACGCUGAGGAGCGAAAGCGUGGGUAGCGAACAGG
rnacentral:rRNA from 1 species